GCAGCGAGACUGCUUGCAGGCAGAGCGGCUUAUUUAUUUGCCGGAUAAACAGACAUAAGCAUGUAGGACGAUAGUCCGGAAUGCGCAUGUCUGUUACGAUUUCGAGAGUUCGAAGAACGGAGAAAUCGUU
rnacentral:sRNA from 1 species